GCCUUCGUAGUGUAGUGGUCAGCACGCUGGGCGCGUAUUCCAGAUGUCUGUGUUUCGAAUCCUGGUGAGGGCA
rnacentral:tRNA from 1 species